AUUAGACGAAUCAUCUGGAAAGAUGAAUCAAAGAAGGUAAUAAUCCUGUAGUCGAAAAUGUUGUCUCUCUUGAGUGGAUCCUGAGUACGACGGAGCACGUGAAAUUCCGUCGGAAUCUGGGAGGACCAUCUCCUAAGGCUAAAUACUCUCUAGUGACCGAUAGUGAACCAGUACCGUGAGGGAAAGGUGAAAAGCACCCCGGAAGGGGAGUGAAAUAGAACCUGAAACCGUGUGCUUACAAGUAGUCAGAGCCCGUUAAUGGGUGAUGGCGUGCCUUUUGUAGAAUGAACCGGCGAGUUACGAUUUGAUGCAAGGUUAAGCAGUAAAUGUGGAGCCGUAGCGAAAGCGAGUCUGAAUAGGGCGUUUAGUAUUUGGUCGUAGACCCGAAACCAGGUGAUCUACCCUUGGUCAGGUUGAAGUUCAGGUAACACUGAAUGGAGGACCGAACCGACUUACGUUGAAAAGUGAGCGGAUGAACUGAGGGUAGCGGAGAAAUUCCAAUCGAACCUGGAGAUAGCUGGUUCUCUCCGAAAUAGCUUUAGGGCUAGCCUCAAGUGAUGAUUAUUGGAGGUAGAGCACUGUUUGGACGAGGGGCCCCUCUCGGGUUACCGAAUUCAGACAAACUCCGAAUGCCAAUUAAUUUAACUUGGGAGUCAGAACAUGGGUGAUAAGGUCCGUGUUCGAAAGGGAAACAGCCCAGACCACCAGCUAAGGUCCCAAAAUAUAUGUUAAGUGGAAAAGGAUGUGGCGUUGCCCAGACAACUAGGAUGUUGGCUUAGAAGCAGCCAUCAUUUAAAGAGUGCGUAAUAGCUCACUAGUCGAGUGACACUGCGCCGAAAAUGUACCGGGGCUAAACAUAUUACCGAAGCUGUGGAUUGUCCUUUGGACAAUGGUAGGAGAGCGUUCUAAGGGCGUUGAAGCAUGAUCGUAAGGACAUGUGGAGCGCUUAGAAGUGAGAAUGCCGGUGUGAGUAGCGAAAGACGGGUGAGAAUCCCGUCCACCGAUUGACUAAGGUUUCCAGAGGAAGGCUCGUCCGCUCUGGGUUAGUCGGGUCCUAAGCUGAGGCCGACAGGCGUAGGCGAUGGAUAACAGGUUGAUAUUCCUGUACCACCUAUAAUCGUUUUAAUCGAUGGGGGGACGCAGUAGGAUAGGCGAAGCGUGCGAUUGGAUUGCACGUCUAAGCAGUAAGGCUGAGUAUUAGGCAAAUCCGGUACUCGUUAAGGCUGAGCUGUGAUGGGGAGAAGACAUUGAGUCUUCGAGUCGUUGAUUUCACACUGCCGAGAAAAGCCUCUAGAUAGAAAAUAGGUGCCCGUACCGCAAACCGACACAGGUAGUCAAGAUGAGAAUUCUAAGGUGAGCGAGCGAACUCUCGUUAAGGAACUCGGCAAAAUGACCCCGUAACUUCGGGAGAAGGGGUGCUCUUUAGGGUUAACGCCCAGAAGAGCCGCAGUGAAUAGGCCCAAGCGACUGUUUAUCAAAAACACAGGUCUCUGCUAAACCGUAAGGUGAUGUAUAGGGGCUGACGCCUGCCCGGUGCUGGAAGGUUAAGAGGAGUGGUUAGCUUCUGCGAAGCUACGAAUCGAAGCCCCAGUAAACGGCGGCCGUAACUAUAACGGUCCUAAGGUAGCGAAAUUCCUUGUCGGGUAAGUUCCGACCCGCACGAAAGGCGUAACGAUUUGGGCACUGUCUCAACGAGAGACUCGGUGAAAUCAUAGUACCUGUGAAGAUGCAGGUUACCCGCGACAGGACGGAAAGACCCCGUGGAGCUUUACUGUAGCCUGAUAUUGAAAUUCGGCACAGCUUGUACAGGAUAGGUAGGAGCCUUUGAAACGUGAGCGCUAGCUUACGUGGAGGCGCUGGUGGGAUACUACCCUAGCUGUGUUGGCUUUCUAACCCGCACCACUUA
rnacentral:rRNA from 1 species